AAGAUUUUGAUUGACUGGUGGCAGAAGGGGUAUGUUAUAUAAAGUGGCAUUAAGGCCUUGCAGACAGACUUAACAAUAAUAUAUAACAUGCUGAAGUUUCAAUAACAGUUUGACGAAGGCCCACAUGUAAUCCCAUAUUGACGGUUGUAGAACUCGUACCAACAGAUUUCACUUUGGGAUAUAAUGGCAAGUUGGGAUGAGAAACUUCUGAAAGCUGCAAAGGAGGGAAAUAUAAAAGAGGUAGAAUCAUGUGUAAAGAACAGAGCUAAUUUGGAAUGUAGAACCGAUGAUAUGUUUGGAAUGACACCAUUAAUGAAGGCCGCUGAGGAAGGACACCUGGAGGUAGUGACGUACCUCAUCAGUCACGGCAGUCUGUUAGAG